AUGCCUACGGGACGCAGCAGUGGGGAAUAUUGCGCAAUGGGUGAAAGCCUGACGCAGCGACGCCGCGUGAGGGAUGAAGGUCUUCGGAUCGUAAACCUCUGUCAGCAGGGAAGAACGGUCACUGUGCUAAUCAGCAGUGAAUUGACGGUACCUGCAAAGGAAGCACCGGCUAACUCCGUGCCAGCAGCCGCGGUAAUACGGAGGGUGCGAGCGUUAGUCGGAAUUACUGGGCGUAAAGCGCUCGUAGGCGGUAUGCCAAGCAAAGGGAGAAAUCCCCGCGCUCAACGUGGGAAC
rnacentral:rRNA from 1 species